AGUGAACGCUGGCGGCGUGCUUAACACAUGCAAGUCGAACGAGAACGGAUUAUAGCUUGCUAUAAUUGUCAGCUAAGUGGCGCACGGGUGAGUAAUGUAUAGGUAAUAUGCCUCUUACUAAGGGAUAACAAAUGGAAACGUUUGCUAAUACCUUAUACUCCUUAUUAACAGAAGUUAAUAAGGGAAAGAUUUAUUGGUAAGAGAUUAGCCUGUAUUGUAUCAGUUAGUUGGUGGGGUAAUGGCUUACCAAGACUAUGACACAUAACUGGUUUGAGAGGAUGGUCAGUCACGCUGGAACUGAGACACGGUCCAGACUCCUACGGGAGGCAGCAGUGUGGAAUAUUGCACAAUGGACGGAAGUCUGAUGCAGCGACGCCGCGUGGAGGAUGACACAUUUCGGUGCGUAAACUCCUUUUAUAUGAGAAGAUAAUGACGGUAUUAUAUGAAUAAGCACCGGCUAACUCCGUGCCAGCCGCCGCCGUAA
rnacentral:rRNA from 1 species